rnacentral:rRNA from 1 species
AGAGUUUGAUCCUGGCUCAGGAUGAAUGCUAGCGGCAGGCUUAACACAUGCAAGUCGAGGGGCAGCGGGGAGGAAGCUUGCUUUCUCCGCCGGCGACCGGCGCACGGGUGAGUAACAUGUAUGCAACCUGCCCCUGUCAGGGGGACAACCCGCCGAAAGGCGGGCUAAACCCGCGUACAUGCCACCGGGGCAUCCCGGAGGCAGGAAAGGCUUCGGCCGGACAGGGAUGGGCAUGCGGCGCAUUAGGCAGUAGGCGGGGUAACGGCCCACCUAACCGACGAUGCGUAGGGGUUCUGAGAGGAAGGUCCCCCACACUGGUACUGAGACACGGACCAGACUCCUACGGGAGGCAGCAGUGAGGAAUAUUGGUCAAUGGUCGGGAGACUGAACCAGCCAAGCCGCGUGAGGGAGGAAGGUACAGAGUAUCGUAAACCUCUUUUGUCAGGGAACAAAGGCGGGGACGUGUCCCCGGAUGAGUGUACCUGAAGAAAAAGCAUCGGCUAACUCCGUGUCAGCAGCCGCGGUAAUACGGAGGAUGCGAGCGUUAUCCGGAUUUAUUGGGUUUAAAGGGUGCGCAGGCGGUCUGUUAAGUCAGCGGUCAAAGCCCGGGGCUCAACCCCGGCCCGCCGUUGAAACUGGCAGUCUCGAGUUGGAGAGAAGUAUGCGGAAUGCGCGGUGUAGCGGUGAAAUGCAUAGAUAUCGCGCAGAACUCCGAUUGCGAAGGCAGCAUGCCGGCUCCACACUGACGCUGAGGCACGAAAGCGUGGGUAUCGAACAGGAUUAGAUACCCUGGUAGUCCACGCAGUAAACGAUGAAUGCUGGCUGUCCGGGGGGACUGACCCCUGGGUGGCGAAGCGAAAGCGAUAAGCAUUCCACCUGGGGAGUACGCCGGCAACGGUGAAACUCAAAGGAAUUGACGGGGGCCCGCACAAGCGGAGGAACAUGUGGUUUAAUUCGAUGAUACGCGAGGAACCUUACCCGGGCUCAAACGGGGAGUGGCGCAGGCAGAGACGCCUGUUUCCCACGGGACACUCCCCGAGGUGCUGCAUGGUUGUCGUCAGCUCGUGCCGUGAGGUGUCGGCUUAAGUGCCAUAACGAGCGCAACCCCCGCGUGCAGUUGCUAACAGUCAACGCUGAGGACUCUGCACGGACUGCCGGCGCAAGCCGCGAGGAAGGCGGGGAUGACGUCAAAUCAGCACGGCCCUUACGUCCGGGGCGACACACGUGUUACAAUGGGUGGUACAGCGGGAAGCCAGGCGGCGACGCCGAGCGGAACCCGAAAUCCACUCUCAGUUCGGAUCGGAGUCUGCAACCCGACUCCGUGAAGCUGGAUUCGCUAGUAAUCGCGCAUCAGCCAUGGCGCGGUGAAUACGUUCCCGGGCCUUGCACUCACCGCCCGUCAAG